UGGGGAAUAUUGGACAAUGGGCGCAAGCCUGAUCCAGCAAUGCCGCGUGUGUGAAGAAGGCCUGCGGGUUGUAAAGCACUUUUAUCGGGAAAGAAAUCCUUAGGGUUAAUAACUCUAAGGCUUGACGGUACCCGAAGAAUAAGGACCGGCUAACUCCGUGCCAGCAGCCGCGGUAAUACGGAGGGUCCGAGCGUUAAUCGGAAUUACUGGGCGUAAAGCGCACGCAGGCGGUUUGUUAAGUUAGAUGUGAAAGCCCCGGGCUUAACCUGGGAAUAGCAUUUAAAACUGGCAGGCUAGAGUCUUGGAGAGGGGAGUGGAAUUCCAGGUGUAGCGGUGAAAUGCGUAGAUAUCUGGAGGAACAUCAGUGGCGAAGGCGACUCCCUGGCCAAAGACUGACGCUCAUGUGCGAAAGUGUGGGUAGCGAACAGGAUUAGAUACCCUGGUAGUCCACACCGUAAACGAUGUCUACUAGCUGUUUGUGGAUUUAAUCCGUGAGUAGCGCAGCUAACGCGAUAAGUAGACCGCCUGGGGAGUACGGCCGCAAGGUUAAAACUCAAAGGAAUUGACGG
rnacentral:rRNA from 1 species